AACUCUGCAUGUGUCAUAUACUGAAAUUUGAAUGACAUAGAAUAUUAUCAUGGCCCCUGUGCAUGGAUGACUCACGAACUGGUGAAGUGUUCCAUUUAGGG
rnacentral:snRNA from 1 species